AUACGUAGGGUGCGAGCGUUAUCCGGAAUUACUGGGCGUAAAGAGCUCGUAGGUGGUUUGUCGCGUCGUCUGUGAAAUUCCGGGGCUUAACUCCGGGCGUGCAGGCGAUACGGGCAUAACUUGAGGACUGUAGGGGAGACUGGAAUUCCUGGGGAAGGGUAGAAAUGCGCAGAUAUCAGGAGGAACACCGGUGGCGAAGGCGGGUCUCUGGGCAGUAACUGACGCUGAGGAGCGAAAGCAUGGGUAGCGAACAGGAUUAGAUACCCUGGUAGUCCAUGCCGUAAACGGUGGGCGCUAGGUGUAGGGGUUUUCCACGCCUUCUGUGCCGUAGCUAACGCAUUAAGCGCCCCGCCUGGGGAGUACGGUCGCAAGGCUAAAACUCAAAUGAAUUGACGGGG
rnacentral:rRNA from 1 species